rnacentral:rRNA from 1 species
AGAGUUUGAUCCUGGCUCAGGAUGAACGCUGGCGGUAUGCUUAACACAUGCAAGUCGAACGGGCUCUUCGGAGCUAGUGGCGGACGGGUGAGUAACGCGUGAGAAUCUGGCUUCAGGUUCGGGACAACAGUUGGAAACGGCUGCUAAUACCGGAUGUGCCUUAGGGUGAAAGAUUUAUCACCUGAAGAUGAGCUCGCGUCUGAUUAGCUAGUAGGUGUGGUAAGAGCGCACCUAGGCGACGAUCAGUAGCUGGUCUGAGAGGAUGAUCAGCCACACUGGGACUGAGACACGGCCCAGACUCCUACGGGAGGCAGCAGUGGGGAAUUUUCCGCAAUGGGCGAAAGCCUGACGGAGCAAUACCGCGUGAGGGAGGAAGGCUCUUGGGUUGUAAACCUCUUUUCUCAGGGAAGAAUAAUGACGGUACCUGAGGAAUAAGCAUCGGCUAACUCCGUGCCAGCAGCCGCGGUAAUACGGAGGAUGCAAGCGUUAUCCGGAAUGAUUGGGCGUAAAGCGUCCGCAGGUGGCAGUGUAAGUCUGCUGUCAAAGCGUCUGGCUCAACCAGAUAAAGGCAGUGGAAACUACAUAGCUAGAGUAAGGUAGGGGUAGAGGGAAUUCCUGGUGUAGCGGUGAAAUGCGUAGAGCUCAGGAAGAACACCGGUGGCGAAAGCGCUCUGCUGGACCUUAACUGACACUGAGGGACGAAAGCUAGGGGAGCGAAUGGGAUUAGAUACCCCAGUAGUCCUAGCCGUAAACGAUGGAUACUAGGCGUUGCCCGUAUCGACCCGGGCAGUGUCGUAGCUAACGCGUUAAGUAUCCCGCCUGGGGAGUACGCAGGCAACUGUGAAACUCAAAGGAAUUGACGGGGGCCCGCACAAGCGGUGGAGUAUGUGGUUUAAUUCGAUGCAACGCGAAGAACCUUACCAGGGCUUGACAUGUCCGGAAUCAUGACGAAAGUUAUGAGUGCCUUCGGGAGCCGGAACACAGGUGGUGCAUGGCUGUCGUCAGCUCGUGUCGUGAGAUGUUGGGUUAAGUCCCGCAACGAGCGCAACCCUCGUUCUUAGUUGCCAUCAUUAAGUUGGGAACUCUAAGGAGACUGCCGGUGACAAACCGGAGGAAGGUGGGGAUGACGUCAAGUCAGCAUGCCCCUUACGCCCUGGGCUACACACGUACUACAAUGCUAUGGACAAAGGGCAGCAAGCGGGCAACCGCAAGCAAAUCUCGUAAACCAUGGCUCAGUUCAGAUCGCAGGCUGCAACUCGCCUGCGUGAAGGUGGAAUCGCUAGUAAUUGCAGGUCAGCAUACUGCAGUGAAUUCGUUCCCGGGCCUUGUACACACCGCCCGUCACACCAUGGAAGCUGGUCACGCCCGAAGUCGUUACCCUAACCCCUCGGGGAGGGGGAUGCCGAAGGUAGGACUGGUGACUGGGGUGAAGUCGUAACAAGGUAGCCGUACCGGAAGGUGUGGCUGGAUCA